ACACAGGUGGAAGCUACACCUCUGGCACAGAUUAGGUACCUAAACACACUUCCUGCCUCUGGCUAGUUGUUGGAGCCUGAGCUGCAUAAGCAAAUAAGUACGAGUAGUUUUUUUCUCCCCCUUCGAUCUGAAAACUUAAGGUAGUUUGAUCUGUCUUGCUGGCGCCAACGCUCUACUGGCCAGAGAGAAAGGACACAGAUGGAAAACAGGUGUGAAGUCACAUUCUAAAAUGGAAGGAGAGAGACCCGCUCCUGGCCUGUUAAUACGCUUUUGAAUUCAUCAGUUGUAUAAUUCAAAGGAGCAGAAGCUUUGAGCAGGAUUCUGAAUGAAGACGCUGCCACGCAAGGCCUUCCUCUUCUCCCAGAAAGGACUCUAAAGCCUAAGAUUUGAGCACACGGACUAAAUGCCAGGGUCUUUGGGAAGAGCGCAAGCUUGAAGCUCGUGUUGACAUGAAUUUCAAGUCCAAGACUGGGAGAAUCCCAAUCUGUUGUGCUUUAGUAUCUAGAGAGAAUUUAAUUGAAGAGGGAAAGGUGACAAUUUAGGUUAUUUUCCUGUGAGCUAACAGAUCCUGUGUUCCAGUUCUGUUUCUGUGUAAACUCCAAAAAGUUAAGCUCUCGAGGACUGUGUUUUUUAUCUGACAAAUCAGUUAAUAGUGCUAUUCUACCUGCUUCAGGAGGAAAAUGAGGUAUUUGUAAAAACGCUUUGAAAGAAACAAAAAGACUUUGUGAAGUAUUAUUUAUUUAUUCAUGCUUUUGGGAUUAUUCCUUUUGUCAAGGGGAGUCGACUCCUCUUCUCAUGGGAACCAUCCCUGAUGGGUUUUCUUUCACCAUCUCUUUCCUGUGUAUCUCAUUUAUGAUCCCCCUUUUUUUUUUUUUUCGAGCUGUGGGUUUUACAGUAUUGGCUAAUUGGACAUGGCUAAUAAAACUGAAAGCAGAUGUUCUGAGCUUACCCUUACAUGAAUUCUCAAACCAUCCCAACAUUUGGAGGGAAAAGAACAUUGAUGACUGUAUUUUCAAACUGAACUUGCAGGAAAGCUUGAGUAUUUCCCAUGAAUUGUCACGCUUAAUCAAAUUAGACACAAGCUCUUAGCCAGUGGAAUACAGGCUGGAUUCCGGAGGUUUUUCACAAAGGAGGAAGUAUUCUCUACUCUCCUGACAUGUGUAGGAGUCCUUGAUUAGCAUU
rnacentral:lncRNA from 1 species